ACGCUCGACACCUACGGGCAGCAGUGGGGAAUAUUGCACAAUGGGGGAAACCCUGAUGCAGCGACGCCGCGUGAGCGAAGAAGUAUUUCGGUAUGUAAAGCUCUAUCAGCAGGGAAGAAACUGACGGUACCUGACUAAGAAGCACCGGCUAAAUACGUGCUAGCAGCCGCGGUAAUCUGAGCGGGCUGGCAAGGC
rnacentral:rRNA from 1 species